rnacentral:tRNA from 1 species
AUUUAUUUAGUAUAUAACGUACACUUGACUUCCAAUCAAAAAGAUUGAAAAAAAAAUUCAAAAUAAAUA